AAAUUCCCCUUUUCUAUUUUUAGAUAUUAUAUAUAACUUGUUUGACCGUUCACUUUUCGCGGGGAUCGUUUUUCUCGUGCUUGAGAUUCAAUGUCCAGACUUGGAUAUUUAAACCUCGUCUGGACAAUAUUUCUUUAGAUUGGGGAAAACUUUCGUACUGUAUGCAGGUUUUCUACAAAAUGUCAAUAUGGUUUCAUAUCUAAAGCUGCUCUCAACAUGCAACUUCCAUAAAAACUCUGAUUAUCCAGUUAAAUAUGAAGCAAUGGCAAGCAGUUUAUGUAGAUGAAUUACAAGAACAGAAAAAAAAAGGUAACACAGAUAACAGAACAGUUAAUCCACCCCACGGCCUUCUACAUCUUCAAGAUAUAUUUACAUACAUACACAAUGAUAAACAAAACAAAAUGCUAUUACACUACAUGUGUACAAAAUUACAUAAUAUAUAGUACAGAUAGAUCAAUACCACUGACAUGAAAAAGUAUGACUACAGUAAAGUUAUAACAUUUUAACUACGAAAGGUUCUCUUCUUGUAUCUUUAAGAGAUAAGAUUGACAGUCUGCUUUAAAAAUAUUUACACUUUUACUUUCUUUCAAAUUUAAAGGCAAAGAAUUCCACAACAAGGUUCUAGAAUACUUAAAAGUUCAUUUACCAUAAUUUGUUCCAUAUCGUUGAACGAAUAUAUUAUUUUGGGUAGAUGAUCUUAAUGCAUAUUUAUUAACAGUUAAACAGCUUGAAAAUAGUUCAGAUAAAUAUUCAGGUGCUAGAGUAUUCAUACACUUAUAUGUUAUCACUGCCAUAAAAUAUUUAAUUCUAUUAUAAAUGGUAAGAAAUCCUAACUAUUUAAACAUAAUCGAUGAAGAGAUAUCAAACCAUACAUUCAAAAUUAUUCUUGCUGUCCGCUUUUGUAACUUAUAAGCUUUUCAAUAUUAGUCUUUGAAGCAUUUCCCCACACGGAACAGCAGAAAUCCAUAACUGAGAGUAUACAUCCGUUAUGAUAAAGUUUAAGAGCACUUACAUAUAUAGUACAGAUAGAUCAAUACCACUGACAUGAAAAAGUAUGACUACAGUAAAGUUAUAACAUUUUAACUACGAAGUUUUUGACUUCACUUUGAGUCUGCUCAUAAGAUGCAGUCUGCUUACAAUUACUGCACAGAGUUUGUCAAUUUGAUUUUCCCACGAAAGUGUUUUAUCGAUGUGGAUUCCUAACAGUUUUUGGUUAUGAACGACGUCUAUUUUGUGUUCAUCGUCAAAUUUGAUGUUUAAUUCUGAUUCAAAGGGAUUUAGUCUAUUAGAUCAAAUUAACAUGACCUUAGUCUUAUCAUUAUUCAAUAUCAUAUCAUUAUCAUUACACCAAUUCAUAACAUUACAAAAAUCUACAUUCAUCAAUUCAUGUAAUUCUGUUACCGAUUGAGAUGAAUUAUAUAAAGUUGUAUCAUCAGCAUAAAGCUCUGAAGAAACAUUUUGAAGCACAAGUGAUAAAUCAUUGAUAAAUAUUAUAAAAAAUAAAGGUCCUAAUAUGGAACCUUGUGGUACUCCUGAUUGAACCUCUCGGAAAUAAGAUUCAAUAUCAUUGAUCAUAACCUUCUGAAAUCUUCCUGAUAUUUAAAAUCCUUCUAUCCCCCGACACCAAAAAAAAAAAAAAUAUAGAAAAAUGUCAAAUCAAAUGAGGUUGAGUUAUUUACUUGCUAGACUAUAAUACAUUAGCGGUAUUUUAAGCUUAUUAUGGCAAAAUUGAAAUCAAAUUCACUGCUUAUAGCAAAAUAUCAUUCCAUUUUAGAAAUAUUUGAAACAAAACAAAAAUCUUAUUCUAAUUUUUUGUCAAAGUCGUAGCUAAUGACCCUUAUUGAUUUGAUGUUUGCUGGACUUCCAGUGGAAUUAAUACAUGCAUGGAAUUAAUACAUGCAUACUCAGAACGAAAACUUAUUUAAAUAAAACAACUAAUACAAUAUAAAGGUUCUGCAUGGUGGGACGAAGGAUUGCCGCUGGAAAACAAUGAAAAGUUGACUUGUAACAGAUCAAUUGCGGAACUCGCCAGGAGUUUUUGCGAGGGCUUUUUAACGUGCUGAGAGCAAGUUAUUCUCUCCACAAAAGGUAUUUAUUUUUAAUGUCCUCAUCGUGACCGGUCGUGACAGGGAAUUAAAUUUAUACAUCCGGCACUUCCAAACGGACUAUAUUUCCGUAAGUCAGGAACCAGAUGUUCAGUGGUUGUCGUUUGUUGAUGUGGUUCUUUAGUGUUUCUCGUAUAGAAUAGACCGUUGGUUUUCCUGUUUGAAUGGUUUUACACUUGUCAUUUUUGGGGCCCUUUAUAGCUUGCUGUUCGGCCCUACUUUGACCUAAAAUGGUUUACUUUUACAAAUUGUAACUUGAAUGGAGAGUUGUCUCAUUGGCACUCAUAACACAUCUGCUUAUAUCUCUAUAACCUUAAUGACGUUCUUUUGGGAAUAUGAAAACUGGAAUGGGUUAUUAUGCAUGUGUUGAGGUACUUGCAAAAAAACCUUUGAGUGAUUUUAGAUCUUUUAGGAUUGUCAACAUUUUUUUCUGCAGUAAUAAAAAAACAGCGUCCUUUGAGAAUACAUAAUUAUUCAGUAUGAUACGGACACCUUGAUAUCUAUGCUUCAUCAUAAAAUGUAUUUGAAGUAUUAAAAAUAAACCUCACCUUUUCCAUCAGAUUGUUCUUCGUCUGUUUCUCCGUCACAGUCGUUAUCUAUUUUGUCUCCCUCUUUCAUCUGGCUAGCCAGGCAAUCCUGCAAUUCAUAAUAAUAAAAAAAUGAUUGAUUAAAUAGUUUUCAAACACUGCAACAUUAAUAUUUAGCCCUUUUUACGUAGUGAUCAAUGGCGGAUUAUUAGGAGAAGAACGCUUCUUUGAUUGGAAAAUAUAUUCAUUUAUGCAUAAAAAAAGUGUAUAUCGGUACAUCUUCUGAUCUCGGGAAUUGUGCGCCUCAUUUCAAAAAUACUGGAUCCGCUCCGGUUAUGGUAUGUGGCUUCUCUUUCUGUAAUUUGUCAUUCAUAUUCUUUUCUAAGAUUUUUUAAAAAGAUUUUUACCAAACAAUAAAGGCCACAUAAAUAUGUCUGUUUCCACUUUACAUGAUAAAAUUGGUUCUAAUUUCCAACCAAUUCCAAACCAGUUUUAAUUUGUUUAAUAUAGGAAAAGACGGUGUAUACAUAGCAAACAUUUUAUAUGAAAACUAUGAAAUGGCCAACAUACUCAAGACCAUGCAUGCUAGUUGAUUGUUUUAUUAUUUGUACGACUUUGCCCCCAGCAGAGCUUUAGAAAAACAGUACAUUAACGGGUGUUACACGGACACUUUUUAGAUGAUACACGGACACUUUUUACUUGUUACACGGACACUUUUUUAUGAAUAGAAUCACUCGUACAUGAUCAGUGAGUUCAUGGGCACUUUAAAUUUCAAUUAGAUUUGAUCUUUUUGUUUCACCGACAUAUUUCCUGUCUUUUUUUUUAUUAAAAUAUUUACGUUGGCAUCAAUAACUAUAUUUUUUUUCAAACAAUUCCAGUAUAUUACUAUUCAUAUCAGUACACUAAGGGAUUGACCAUUUCACUUCAAAAGGUGGGCUAUGGUUUUUUUCCUAUAAACACUGAGACCCAAUUUUAUUAGAAAAGGAGAUGACAAAAUAAUGUUCUGAUUUCUGAUUUUCCGAAUACCGUAUAAAAUAGUGCUAAAAUCGAAAAAUAAAACGUUGAAAAACUAAAUAAUUGUCUUACUAAGAAAAAAAACAUAUCCCCCUUUUGAAGCUAAAUGGUCGGUCCGUAAAUGUAUUCUUUUUUCUCAAUAUAUAAACAUGAAUAGUAUUCUUUCUUGACAAUGCUGAAAGUAAUGAGUACGAACGUUUAAAUUUCAACAAAAAAGACAGGAAAUAUAUAUAUAUAUUAAAAUCAAAUCUAAUCAAAAGAUAAAUCCCUAUCAACUCACCAAU